CUCAUAACUCUGUAUAAUGAGGGAUAUUGAACUCUCCUAAACUAAAGGACAUGGGAGAGCUCACCUGUGGGCUCAUAACUCUGUAUAAUGAGGGAUAUUGAACUCUCCUAAACUAAAGGACAUGGGAGAGCUCACCUGUGGGCUCAUAACUCUGUAUAAUGAGGGAUAUUGAACUCUCCUAAACUAAAGGGCAUGGGAGAGCUCACCUGUGGGCUCAUAACUCUGUAUAAUGAGGGAUGUUGAACUCUCCUAAACUAAAGGACAUGGGAGAGCUCACCUGUGGGCUCAUAACUCUGUAUAAUGAGGGAUAUUGAACUCUCCUAAACUAAAGGACAUGGGAGAGCUCACCUGUGCCAAAAUAACUGAAUAUUGAGGGAUGCUGAACUCUCUUUAUCUUGUCAUUCCUUUUUUUAGUUCCUUAAUUCUCAGAAAGGGAAAAUAAAUCCUGGAUAAUGUUGGAUCAUACGGUGAAAGACAGAGAAAGACUUUUAAAUUAAAAUGUGUUUUUAAUUUAGUUAAAACAUUUAACUUGAUAAUGAAGCAUUGGGUGCUGUGACCAACUUUCUCUUAAAAAAAAAAAUGUUUACUUCAUUUUUAUUAUUUCGUCAAACAGGGAUCUUCUUUAACGACCUCAGACUAAAGGUCACGAUGAGGUUAGAGGUCACAACCUUUCUCAAACAGGAAGUUUUUUUCUUCUUCUCAGAAGCACAAAUGAUCUUCGAGGUGAAUAUGGGAGACGGAAAAGAAGAACACCCACGCGUUGAUGUAAAGUGUGUGCGUUGUGGGAACACUUAAAGCCUCGUGAAACAUGCCUGAUCUCGCGAUAGCUCUUGUUCUGUUUCACGGUGAAGUGAAAGGAAACGUGAGCGGUGCAGCGGUCUGUCUCCUUAUCCAGGUUAUUGGCCGACCAUAGUUAGAUAGAGGACUCUCUAAAGACCCUCUUACCUUACUAGGUACUCUAUCUAACUCUAUGGGUCUGCCAGUCGUUCUCUCUCGCUACUAUGUGCUGUGAAGUGUAUGAUGAUAAUAGUGUAGCUGUAAUCUCUCUCAUCACUCUUCUGUGUGAUGGCUCGUCCAGUGUAGUCUUGGUAUUGCUCUCUUCUCUCCUGUGUGUGCUGUCUGUACGUACAGUACAGUGGUCUGUGUGUGCGGUUGCCAGCAAAUUAAGGGUCGUUAUUAUUAUCCAAUCUUCAUCUAAGAAACACACACACACACUAACAUUCAUUGCAGACCCACACAUUGCAGACAUACACACACAUACACACACUAUUCUUUAUAUCUAGACAUUGUCCUGUGAACUGUCACUCACACACCAUAGAACUACAGUACCCAUACACCCUCACUCCUGUACAUUUGACACUGGUUAGCAUUUGCAUCAUGGGAAAUGUAGUGUAUUAACUAGAGGGAUUUCCAGUUAAAUGGGAGAAAGAUUCCAUAGGAAUGAUCGUUCAAACGAUCUUGAUUAACUCGCUCUGGGUAGAAGUUGCCUUUAACCACAGAUCUAGGAUCAAUUUACUCUCCCAUUAUCCUAAUCUUAACCAUUAGGCGGAACACAAAACAUUUCUUAGAUCAGUGUCUAGUAAGCAACUUCAUCCUACCAUGACAAGCUCAGUGUGUGUGUGUAUAAUUUACUGUGAAUGAAAGACCACUUCUCUGUCGUUUUCAGCGAGACAAUCGUUACUGGCGUGAUUCCACUCGUUUUUAAUAUUCUGCUUAUCACGUCACCAUGACAACGCUACCUAUACUACGGCGUUUGCACGACAGGAGAGGACAAAAAAAAUACUGUUGGAAACUAAGAACCAAUGGCCUUUUCUUAAACUUGUAACAAUCUAAUAACUCUUCAUAUCACACGUUUUCAUUUGUCUGUCUUCUAAAAAAUGAAUCAUAAAAAAACAAUAGCUCGCUCUUUUGUAGGCUAAUAAUAAUUAUGGCAAGAGCACCAUUUGUUUUCUGUUUUUCUUUAUAAUAAUGCUGAAUGACUGUCUUGAAUUGCAUUUUUUUUUUUUAUAAAACCGUACUGUAGACUUGUUAAUUUUUGAUGGUUGUUUUUAUGUCCCCGGCGACAACAACGGUUUACUAAGAUGAUAAUACUGUCUGUUCUAAACUGUGGUGGUGACAUUAUUGAGCCUGGAAUCCAUGUUUUAAAAACAGAAUUAAAACAACUUUAACUGACUCAGAACGACUGGAGUGGUUUGUUAUUGAAUUUGACACCUCUCUCUCCCUCUCCCUCUCCCUCUCCCUCUCCCUCCCUGUCUCUGUAAUGACACAUUCACUGACAGUAGAUGGCGAUAUUCCUGUACGU
rnacentral:lncRNA from 1 species